AAGGUGCCUGACUGGGUGGGAGUGGCAGGAGGGGAAGGCUUCCUGGGAAGAGAAGGGGAGACGAGUUUUGUCGUGGGGGUGCUGGAAGAAAGCCCAGGGCAAGCCCGUCCUUCCUCCCUGCUUUCUCCAAGGGCAUCUGCAUUCAGAGGGAAAGUGAAGGUCACAGCGCCCUCCAAGUACCUUGUGCUCCUAUGAAGAGGGAGCAGCUUUCUGAAAUUUUUAACACCUUUCCAGAUGUGCUGAAGAGAUCUGUCCUAGAGAUGUUGCAGGCGUGAUAUUUUCAUGGCAUUUUAAAGUAUCACUGGAUCCAUCUUCCGACGUUUUAAAGAAAUCCCUUA
rnacentral:lncRNA from 1 species